rnacentral:rRNA from 1 species
UGGGGAAUAUUGGGCAAUGGGGCGAAAGCCUGACCCAGCGACGCCGCGUGAAGGAUGAAGGUCUUCGGAUUGUAAACUUCUGUUGACAGGGACGAAGAAAAUGACGGUACCUGUAUAGAAAGCCACGGCUAACUACGUGCCAGCAGCCGCGGUAAUACGUAGGUGGCAAGCGUUAUCCGGAUUUACUGGGUGUAAAGGGUGUGUAGGCGGGGGAUCAAGUCAGAUGUGAAAAUCAUGGGCUCAACUCAUGACUUGCAUUUGAAACUGAUCUUCUUGAGUGUGGGAGAGGUAAAUGGAAUUCCCGGUGUAGCGGUGAAAUGCGU